rnacentral:misc_RNA from 1 species
AUUAUUUUAUUGAAUUAAAUACGAUCCAUUUCGUUCUAUUUCUAUUACUAUGUUCGUGCAUAAUUCGAUAAAGUAAUAUAAAAUAAAAAACAUUGUGCGUCUAUUAUUUCCUUAUAAAACGAAAGAAACUUCUCGGACAAUCUAAUAGAAAUUAGCUUACACGUUGAAUGUUACGAAGGUUUAAAGGAUUAAUGGAAUACUUAUUGAAAAAAUUUGAAAACAUAAUCUAAAAAAGAGUAGCUAACAAUACGUGCAGGUGUAAACCUUCCUUUUACAGUUUAACUUUUCUCCCGAGUGUUAUGAUUUUCAUAAUAAUACAGUAUUAUGAAAUAUACAUAAUAAUACAGUAUUAUACAAUACUUCCUGGACAAAUGAUAGCAUUUUCUUCCGACUCAUAUUUCAUGGAAGUGUUCUCUGACAUUGUUAUUCAAGAACGGAGAUUUCAAUUGCUAAAAACCCGACACAAACUUCAAGAGUCCGAAGAGAACGAAGCCAUAGGAGUUACUGGGAUGAAAAAUAAGGAAAUAGAGUGGAAAUACUAUCGAACAUUAUCUACACGCACAUGAUAUCCACACUAACAAAUCUGCUGGUUGACUCAACAGAGGCAGUUGUAAAUGUAAUGUAGUCUUUAAAAGAAAAGAUUUCAUUUAUUGUAGUAUUGUAAUAUCGCGAGGAAAAAGCCUAAUUAGAAAUCGAUCAAAACAAUGUCGUCUGUCCCUCGGUUAUUAGUUUACAUAGGAAAAAAGCCAAUGUGACUAAAAUCACCUAGUUCUUGCGGAGCGUUAACAGGAUGGGAUUAGAGAAAAGAAAAAAAUAACGCUAAUGGAGGGGGAGAAGCGUUGAGCGGUUGAUCGAGAAGCGUUGAGCGGUUGAUCGAGAAGUGAGAGUGAGUCGAGAGGUCAGAGUUAACCGAGGAGUCGAAGAGAAGAGUUGUGAGCGUUGUCGAGUUGCGUGAGUUACUAGCGUAGCUGAGAGAUUGAGUUGUUGGCGUUGCUCAGUUGCGAGAGUGAUCGAAUUAGAGUAAAACUGUUACAUUUAGUUCCAUAUUAAAUAAUCAUUGUUUUCUGUCUCAUUAAUAUCUGUAUAACUAAUUUAUUGUAAAUAAAUUACAAAUUAUAAAUAGUAUCAGGAUAAGUUUAUA